UUAUGUCAUAAAGAAUUACUUCCACGUUCCUGUUAUGGGUCAUCCUGGUUAUUCUGCAGAGAAUAAGCUAUAAGAAGGCAAAUGUGGUAGCAGAGAUCCAUGAAAAAAAUGACAUGAUAAUGGAGAAGAUAAGAAAAUUUCCCACUUAUACACCCUGAUUUGGCAUUGCAUAUUUUAUUCCAUGUGCCAAUUUAUACUGAACUAAAUGACUUACUACCUCUUAAAGGCUUUUAA
rnacentral:lncRNA from 1 species